rnacentral:lncRNA from 10 species
CAUAUUAAUUGCCCUGAUAAUGAAACCUUCCUGGAGGCCACCUGUCAGAACAUCUGGAGCUCUUGUUGUUACUGCUUCCAACAAGGCCCAUUUCCAUCCCUACGCUGACUUCAAAGACCCAUCUUCAAGGUUGAUCAGCUCUGUACCUGAGAAGUCCAAGACCAAGGAACCAGCAGGUUUGGUGUCUGGCUUAUCUGAAAAUCGUGCUGCUAAGAAUGAGAAGUGUGGUUAAUGUCUGACUUCCUACAGGAUAUGUGUUCGCUGGAUAUAUCUGGGAGAAAAGAGUCUACUUUAUAUUUAUUCAGAAGACAUGAUCAUGUGGAUUUGG